UUGACUUUAAUUUCAUUCAGACACAAAUACAUCGCUGCAUAAAUGCGGCGCCGGAGCGCCGAAGCACGGGUCGCUUCCACUGGUUUGAGCGUCGAGGGCGCGUGGCGCCGUUCGAUAAUGAUCCCUCCGCAGGUUCACCUACGGAGA
rnacentral:misc_RNA from 1 species